UACGGAGGGUGCGAGCGUUGUCCGGAUUUAUUGGGUUUAAAGGGUGCGUAGGUGGCUUUAUAAGUCAGUGGUGAAAUACGGUUGCUCAACAAUCGAGGUGCCAUUGAUACUGUAAAGCUUGAAAUAAUUGGAGGCUGCCGGAAUGGAUGGUGUAGCGGUGAAAUGCAUAGAUAUCAUCCAGAACACCGAUUGCGAAGGCAGGUGGCUACGAUUUGUUUGACACUGAGGCACGAAAGCAUGGGGAGCAAACGGG
rnacentral:rRNA from 1 species